rnacentral:sRNA from 1 species
GAUUACCUAUCCAAGUCUCGGUCGAGAAGGAUUUCUGAAUCCUUAUUGGUCGAGGUCAUCUCAUUAGCCUUUUCGGCGAAGGAUAAUAGAGGAUUGCGACGAGGAUGGUGUGAGGUGUUACAGUUAUUAUAUUCGGCACGUUGAAAGCCGAAUUCGGUUCGUGAACUUCGCAACUUAGCAGCCUUGUCUUCAGGCUCUAGAACCCAAGAGGCCGAGAAUUGUUCCUUCCUCGGCCGCAAUCGCAAGACACAGAAGUCAGCAGCGCGCUCAACGCAACAUCAACAAAUUUACUCCUCGGCCGAGCUCGGCCGACGAGUUGGCACGCCCCGCAAUCACCGAAGGACGUAGUUAGCUUAGAAAAUACUCGGCCUGCGCGCCACGUAGGCUUUGUAGUUUCUAGGGUCAACAGUAC